UCUGUAUUGUAGGGCACACUAUUAAGCCUAAUUCAGUUUCAUCUUUGAGCUGCCAAUGAGUAAUUCUCACAUACAGCGCUUCUUUACCAACCAGAUUACCUCUCUCUGGAGAGUUGGGACCAGGAGCCUUGGAUCUGCAGCAGCUCACAGGGUAUGUUUUCAGAAAAACUCAUUGGGAACCAUGGAGGUCAGAAGCAGGUCGCACAAACUUUGAAAGAAAUUGUUCAAUACGGGAUCCUGCUUGAUGAGGAAUAGAAGCCUUAACUAAGACAAUGACUAUCUGGGAAAUCCAACCCUACCCAUCUUUCUUCAGGACCCCAGCUGACUGUGUUUCCAGCGCAGGUACGAGACGGAUGAAGGAAGGGCUUUAGUGGAGUGGUUGAGUUUUGGAUUCGAGAUCCUCAAUCAUCAACAUAUUGCUACAUGUUUCUGCUCCCACGGGGAAAUGAAAAGAGAGGCGAAGAAAGAGACAAAGAAGAGAGUACACGGUUGCUUUUUAAAGGCACGAUACCAGGCAACCCCUAGUUUAUCAUCAGAGAGGAAGAAUUGAUAGAGAGACUCCUGACUGAGGAAGAGGAGGCUGGAAGUCUGGUUUGGAGCUCAGAGACCUUAGGGUAUCACUGAACAAACCCGUGUGGCUGUCCUGAAACCAUCUGCACUAUGGUCCCGGCUAGGACUUCAAAGGACACCACAGUGGUGACCAGCAGUGUUGACGCUGCAUUGUGCCCUCAUUUUGCAUAAAAUAUUCCAAAAUAAC